rnacentral:rRNA from 1 species
AAUGAACGCUGGCGGCAGGCCUAACACAUGCAAGUCGAACGGGUCCUUCGGGACUAGUGGCGGACGGGUGAGUAACGCGUGGGAACGUGCCCCUUGGUACGGAAUAGCCCCGGGAAACUGGGAGUAAUACCGUAUGUAGUCGAGAGACGAAAGAUUUAUCGCCAAGAGGAUCGGCCCGCGUUGGAUUAGGUAGUUGGUGGGGUAAUGGCCUACCAAGCCGACGAUCCAUAGCUGGGUUGAGAGGAUGAUCAGCCACACUGGGACUGAGACACGGCCCAGACUCCUACGGGAGGCAGCAGUGGGGAAUCUUAGACAAUGGGGGAAACCCUGAUCUAGCCAUGCCGCGUGAUCGAUGAAGGCCUUAGGGUUGUAAAGAUCUUUCAGGUGGGAAGAUAAUGACUGUACCACCAGAAGAAGCCCCGGCUAACUCUGUGCCAGCCGCCGCGGUAACAC